UACAGAGGUGGCAAGCGUUGUUCGGAAUUACUGGGCGUAAAGGGCGCGUAGGCGGUCUUGCAAGUCCCGUGUGAAAUCCCUCGGCUCAACUGAGGAACUGCACGGGAAACUGUUUGGCUUGAGUUCGGGAGAGGGAAGCGGAAUUCCGGGUGUAGCGGUGAAAUGCGUAGAUAUCCGGAGGAACACCGGUGGCGAAGGCGGCUUCCUGGACCGGCACUGACGCUGAGGCGCGAAAGCUAGGGGAGCAAACGGG
rnacentral:rRNA from 1 species